UACGUAGGGUGCGAGCGUUGUCCGGAAUUAUUGGGCGUAAAGAGCUUGUAGGCGGUCUGUCGCGUCUGCUGUGAAAAUCCGGGGCUCAACCCCGGACUUGCAGUGGGUACGGGCAGACUAGAGUGUGGUAGGGGAGACUGGAAUUCCUGGUGUAGCGGUGAAAUGCGCAGAUAUCAGGAGGAACACCGAUGGCGAAGGCAGGUCACUGGGCCGCAACUGACGCUGAGACGCGAAAGCGUGGGGAGCAAACAGG
rnacentral:rRNA from 1 species